rnacentral:SRP_RNA from 1 species
GCCUGGUGUGGGACUAUAUACCUGUAAUGCCUUCUACUAGGAAGCCAAGGCUAGUAGAUAUUCCUGAGCUCUGGACUUUUGAACUGCAGUAGGCUACGUAGAUGUCUGCACUAAACUCAACAUUAAUAUGGUGACUCCUUAGAAUGAGGAGAGCCAGGUUGCCUAAGGAGGUGUGAAUAGGACCUAGUCAAGGAACAGAGCAGGUCCAGGCACUCAUACUAAUCAGUAGUGGAAUUGAGCCCAUGAAUAGCUCCUACAUUUCCAGCCCGGAUGAGAUGUGGAGACUGUCUUA